UACAGAGGGGGCAAGCGUUGUUCGGAAUUACUGGGCGUAAAGGGCGCGUAGGCGGCCUGUUAAGUCGAACGUGAAAUCCCUGGGCUCAACCCAGGAACUGCGUCCGAUACUGGCAGGCUUGAAUUCGGGAGAGGGAUGCGGAAUUCCAGGUGUAGCGGUGAAAUGCGUAGAUAUCUGGAGGAACACCGGUGGCGAAGGCGGCAUCCUGGACCGAGAUUGACGCUGAGGAACGAAAGCUAGGGGAGCAAACAGG
rnacentral:rRNA from 1 species